rnacentral:rRNA from 1 species
AACGAACGCUGGCGGCAGGCUUAACACAUGCAAGUCGAGCGCCCCGCAAGGGGAGCGGCAGACGGGUGAGUAACGCGUGGGAAUCUACCCAUCUCUACGGAAUAACGCAUGGAAACGUGUGCUAAUACCGUAUACGUCCUUCGGGAGAAAGAUUUAUCGGAGAUGGAUGAGCCCGCGUUGGAUUAGCUAGUUGGUGGGGUAAAGGCCUACCAAGGCGACGAUCCAUAGCUGGUCUGAGAGGAUGAUCAGCCACACUGGGACUGAGACACGGCCCAGACUCCUACGGGAGGCAGCAGUGGGUAUAUUGGACAAUGGGCGCAAGCCUGAUCCAGCCAUGCCGCGUGAGUGAUGAAGGCCCUAGGGUUGUAAAGCUCUUUCACCGGUGAAGAUAAUGACGGUAACCGGAGAAGAAGCCCCGGCUAACUUCGUGCCAGCCGCCGCAGUAAUAC